rnacentral:rRNA from 1 species
GAUGAACGCUGGCGGCGUGCCUAAUACAUGCAAGUAGAACGCUGAAGGAAGGAGCUUGCUCUUUCCGGAUGAGUUGCGAACGGGUGAGUAACGCGUAGGUAACCUGCCUGGUAGCGGGGGAUAACUAUUGGAAACGAUAGCUAAUACCGCAUAACAGUAGAUGUUGCAUGAUAUCUACUUAAAAGGUGCAAUUGCACCACUACCAGAUGGACCUGCGUUGUACUAGCUAGUUGGUGAGGUAACGGCUCACCAAGGCGACGAUACAUAGCCGACCUGAGAGGGUGAUCGGCCACACUGGGACUGAGACACGGCCCAGACUCCUACGGGAGGCAGCAGUAGGGAAUCUUCGGCAAUGGACGGAAGUCUGACCGAGCAACGCCGCGUGAGUGAAGAAGGUUUUCGGAUCGUAAAGCUCUGUUGUAAGAGAAGAACGAGUGUGAGAGUGGAAAGUUCACACUGUGACGGUAUCUUACCAGAAAGGGACGGCUAACUACGUG